rnacentral:rRNA from 1 species
GACGAACGCUGGCGGCGUGCUUAACACAUGCAAGUCGAACGAAGAGCGACGGAAGCUUGCUUCUAUCAAUCUUAGUGGCGAACGGGUGAGUAACGCGUAAUCAACCUGCCCUUCAGAGGGGGACAACAGUUGGAAACGACUGCUAAUACCGCAUACGAUCUAACCUCGGCAUCGAGGAAAGAUGAAAGGUGGCCUCUAUGUAUAAGCUAUCACUGAAGGAGGGGAUUGCGUCUGAUUAGCUAGUUGGAGGGGUAACGGCCCACCAAGGCGAUGAUCAGUAGCCGGUCUGAGAGGAUGAACGGCCACAUUGGGACUGAGACACGGCCCAGACUCCUACGGGAGGCAGCAGUGGGGAAUCUUCCGCAAUGGACGAAAGUCUGACGGAGCAACGCCGCGGGAGUGAUGACGGCCUUCGGGUUGUAAAGCUCUGUUAAUCGGGACGAAAGGCCUUCUUGCGAAUAGGGAGAAGGAUUGACGGUACCGGAAUAGAAAGCCACGGCUAACUACGUG